rnacentral:lncRNA from 10 species
GGGCCGGGAGCGCGAGGAGAUUGUCGGGGAAGCGAGGCGGGAGCGGGGGAGGGGUGAGAGAGCGAGGGCGGGGCGGAGUGGAGGGCGAGGAGGCGGGGCGGACGGAGGCUCGAUACCGCGAGGCCUCGGCGUCCGGCCUGCUUGGGCUAGAGAUACCGCGACAAAGGGGCGCGGGCGCCUCAAAGUCCCUAAGCUGUGGCUGGGCUGUGGCCGGGCGAGUAGAUGCGGGCUAGGCCGGGCACGACCCGUUUCCAAAUCGCGUCCGACGGGCCUGUCUGGAGCGCCCACCCAAAGGGUCAGGAGAAGCCCAAGAGGAAGAGGACCCCGAGGUGGGGCGAGUGGCCAGGGACUUCUCCAAGGGGCGUCUGCGGCGCCCAGUCUUUCCUCUGGGGGGACGCCUCGUCCGCUCUGAUACCGAGGAGUCGGUGGAAGGCGGACGUGGGAGCUGUUUCGCCGCGCCCGCCGAGCUGCCCAGGCGAGCUCGCGACGCGCGAGCUGGUGUGUGCGCCCCCAGACUUAGCACUGCGUCCCACCGCUGCAGCUUCUGCACACGCGUGCUGUCUUGGUGACUAGAAAAGAAAAAGAAAAAACUCACGGAGGAAGGGCUGUCCACCCGCUCAGGAUAUUCACGCCAUUUAUCACGAUGCGCAACUUGAAUCCAUUCCCGCCGUUCCUUUUACACACAAAGCAUUGUGUUGAAAACUGUUUUGCACGUAAUAGGUGCGCAAAUACUUGUUUACUGCGCUUUGAAGAAAAAAAUGAGGAUUUCGAACGACAUAUUUGAUGAUCAGACAAGUGAUUACUUGUCAAAAUUUUAGCUAUUUAAGGGCCUGUUUUUACCCCUUAAUCCAUGUCGAUUGCUUACAAGCUGGUGUGCUAGGCACGGAAUGGGAUCCAACAGGUAAAAAUAGGAUGGAUCCCUACCUCAAGUAGCUUUUAGUAUUUGCUGUAUUCAGUUGGUUGCAGAAUACAAACUAGAGACUAUUGAAGGUAGUUGCUCUGUCAUUUACCACACUUUAGUGAGCUUCGUGAAGGUAGAGAUCUUGAUUUUUUCCUUAUUUUAUUCCAGCACCCAGAAGUAUCAACUAGCACAUAAGUGCUUAAUAAAUAAUUGUAUAAAUGACUAAGGGAUGACUGCCUUUCUCUUAAAUACAGUCUCUGUUAAUGUACUCUACAAAGUUUUGGUUUUUAAUAAAACAACUGUAUAAUAUGGCUAAUUCAUGUUUCAUUUGUGGUUUACUGAUUCCCACCUUUUCCCACAAAGCCAAGUCUUCUCACUUAUAUUUACAGCAGUUUACUUCCUCUAAAUUACUCUGUAUUUCUGUCUAUUAAGUUCAUCCUGUAAUUAUCUGCCCAUUUC